UUAAAUUGAAGAGUUUGAUCAUGGCUCAGAUUGAACGCUGGCGGCAGGCCUAACACAUGCAAGUCGAACGGUAACAGGAAGCAGCUUGCUGCUUCGCUGACGAGUGGCGGACGGGUGAGUAAUGUCUGGGAAACUGCCUGAUGGAGGGGGAUAACUACUGGAAACGGUAGCUAAUACCGCAUAACGUCGCAAGACCAAAGAGGGGGACCUUCGGGCCUCUUGCCAUCGGAUGUGCCCAGAUGGGAUUAGCUAGUCGGUGGGGUAACGGCUCACCUAGGAGACGAUCCCUAGCUGGUCUGAGAGGAUGACCAGCCACACUGGAACUGAGAC
rnacentral:rRNA from 1 species